rnacentral:lncRNA from 1 species
AUGGUUAUACAAGGGUCUAAGAUUCAUUGUUCUUUCUCUUAUUUGUUUCUGCCCAGCUGUGGUGAGAUUCUUUUUUCUCUCUCACUUUCUUCUCUCUUUUUUCUCUCUCUCUUUUUCCCCCUGUUUCUUUUCUCUCUUUCUUUCUUUUCUGUUUCUUCUCUCUCUUCUGUUCUGUUUCUUCUUGCUCUUUCUUUUCUGUUUCUUCUCUCUUUUCUGUUUCUUCCCUUUCUUUCUUCUCUCUCUCUUCUGUUUCUUCCCUCUCGUUCUUUCCUGUUUCUUCCCUCUCUUUUCUGUUUCUUCCCUUUCUUGUUCUUUCCUGUUUCUUCCCUCUCUUUCUUUCUUUCUUUCUUUCUGUCUUUUCUGUUUCUUCUUCUCUCUCUUUCUUUUGUUUCUUCUCUUUCUUUUCGGUUUCUUCCCUCUCUUUCUUUCUUUUCUGUUUCUUCUCUCUCUUUCCUGUUUGUUCUCGUUCUCUUUCUUUCUGUUUCUUCCCUCUCUCUCUUUCUUUCUGUUUCUUCCCUCUCUUUUGUUUCUUCCCUCUCUCUCUUUCUUUUGUUUCUUCCCUCUCUCUCUUUUGUUUCUUCCCUCUCUCUCUUUCUCUUUCUUUUGUUUCUUCCCUCUCUCUCUUUCUUUCUGUUUCUUCCCUCUUUCUUUUGUUUCUUCCCUCUCUCUCUUUUGUUUCUUCCCUCUCUCUCUUUCUUUCUGUUUCUUCCCUCUCUCUUUUGUUUCUUCCCUCUCUCUCUUUCUCUUUCUUUUGUUUCUUCCCUCUCUCUCUUUUGUUUCUUCCCUCUCUCUCUUUCUUUCUUUUGUUUCUUCCCUCUCUCUCUCUUUUGUUUCUUCCCUCUCUCUCUCUUUUGUUUCUUCCCUCUCUCUCUCUUUUGUUUCUUCCCUCUCUCUCUUUCUUGUUUCUUCCCUCUCUCUCUUUUGUUUCUUCCCUCUCUCUUUUGUUUCUUCCCUCUCUCUCUCUCUCUCUUUUGUUUCUUCUCUCUCUCUUUAUUUUGUUUCUUCCCUCUCUCUUUCUUUUCUGUUUCUUCCCUCUCUCUCUUUCUUUUCUGUUUGUUCUCGCUCUUUCUUUCCUCUCUCUCUCUUUUGUUUCUUCCCUCUCUCUCUUUCUCUCUCUUUUGUUUCUUCUCUCUCUCUUUAUUUUGUUUCUUCCCUCUCUCUUUCUUUUCUGUUUCUUCCCUCUCUCUCUUUCUUUUCUGUUUGUUCUCGCUCUUUCUUUCCUCUCUCUCUCUUUUGUUUCUUCCCUCUCUUUCUUUCUGUUUCUUCCCUCUCUUUCUUUCUGUUUCUUCCCCCUCUCUUUUCUUUUUCCUCUCUUUUCUGUCCCACAUGGACUUUUGGUUUCUCUCUCUCUCUGACCAUGAUUAG